CCUGUUCCUAGAGGUGGUGCAGGAGUGGCGGCUGUGGCACAUGUUCGCCAGUAGGUGGCAGAGAGGAGCGAGGCUGUGUUUAUGCUUAGUGUUCUGAAAUGUGAACAUCUGAAUGAUCAGUAGCCUAACAAU